CCCAGACUCCUACGGGAGGCAGCAGUGGGGGAUAUUGCACAAUGGGGGGAACCCUGAUGCAGCGACGCCGCGUGGGUGAAGAAGUAUUUCGGUAUGUAAAGCCCUAUCGGCAGGGAAGAAUUUAGACGGUACCUGACUAAGAAGCCCCGGCUAACUACGUGCCAGCAGCCGCGGUAAUACGUAGGGGGCAAGCGUUAUCCGGAUUCACUGGGUGUAAAGGGAGCGUAGACGGCCAUGCAAGCCUGGAGUGAAAGCCCGGGGCCCAACCCCGGGACUGCUCUGGGAACUGUGCGGCUGGAGUGCGGGAGGGGCAGGCGGAAUUCCUGGUGUAGCGGUGAAAUGCGUAGAUAUCAGGAGGAACACCGGCGGCGAAGGCGGCCUGCUGGACCGUGACUGACGUUGAGGCUCGAGAGCGUGGGGAGCAAACAGGAUUAGAUACCCCCGUAA
rnacentral:rRNA from 1 species